rnacentral:sRNA from 1 species
AGCAGCCGCGGUAAUUCCAGCUCCAAUAGCGUAUAUUAAAGUUGUUGCAGUUAAAAAGCUCGUAGUUGAAUUUCGGGGUCAGUAGAUUGGUCGUGCCACUGGUAUGUACUGGUCUUACUGGUUCCUCCUUCCUGAUGAACUGUAAUGCCAUUAAUUUGGUGUUGCAGGGAAUCUGGACUGUUACUUUAGAAAAAUUAGAGUGUUUAAAGCAGGCUAACGCUUGAAUACAUUAGCAUGGAAUAAUGAAAUAGGACGUUCGAUCCUAUUUUGUUGGUUUCUAGGAUUGACGUAUGAUUAAUAGGGAUAGUUGGGGGCAUUAGUAUUCAAUUGUCAGAGGUGAAAUUCUUGGAUUUAUUGAAGACUAACUACUGCGAAAGCAUUUG